UACGUAGGGGCCUAGCGUUGUCCGGAUUUAUUGGGCGUAAAGAGCUCGUAGGCGGUUUGGUGAGUCGGGUGUGAAAUCUCCACGCUCAACGUGGAGGGGCCACCCGAUACUGCCAUGACUAGAGUCCGGUAGGGGAGUGUGGAAUUCCCGGUGUAGCGGUGAAACGCGCAGAUAUCGGGAGGAACACCAAUGGCGAAGGCAGCUUGCUGGGACGGUACUGACGCUGAGACGCGAAAGCGUGGGGAGCAAACAGG
rnacentral:rRNA from 1 species